rnacentral:lncRNA from 1 species
CUCGCCGCCGCCGAGAUGCGGCCCGGACGUUGAGAAGCAACCGCGAAGCGGCGGAGAUUCGAACCUGCGCACAACGUGCGCGCGCGCACUCUGUCUGGCCAGGCGGAGCCGCUGGUUGGUGGAGGCUCGCGGGGCGCGCUCCCGAGCGCCCUCGCGACCGGAAGUGCGCGCUCGGGGGUAGGCGGGAAGGCCGCGGCGGGAUUAAUUAAAGACCCGAUCAAGCGGCCCGCAGAGGGGCGUGACCUUGUUUCCUCAGGAGUGUGGCGGUGGUCUUACUACUAUGUUCGUUAUAGCGCGGCAGAAAGAAGAAAUGUUAUGACAACAGAGCAGCAAGUCCCAUGGUCCUAGCUAAAAGGCGGUACGGCUGUGACUGCUGAGAUGGAGAGUCCUCAAAGAGGGAGUCUCGCUCUGUCGCCAGGCUGGAGUGAAGUGGCACAAUCUCAGAUCACUGCAACCUCUGCCUCCCAAGUUCAAGCAAUUCUCCUGCCUCAGCCUCCCGAGUAGCUGUGACUACAGGUGUGCGCCACCACACUCAGCUAAUUUUUGUAUUUUUAGUAGAGACGGGGUUUCACCAUGUUGGCCAGGAUGGUCUCAAUUUCUUGACCUCGUGAUCCGCCUGCCUCACCUCCCAAAGUGCUGGGAUUACAGGUGUGAGCCACCAUGCCCGGCCAAACCUUGGUACGUUUUAUAGGCAGGGUAGGGGUUGGAGAUGGCUUGGGCUGACGUUCACUGCUUGAGCAUUUUCCAAAGUUUUUAAUUAAUCCCCUUCUUUUCUGCCCUACAUUUCGCCCCCAUUCUAUAUGAGGACACGCUUUCCUAAAUCCUGCUCCUUUCCUAUUUACUUUUUCUAGAGAAUUAAACUUAUGGUCUCUCACCUGAGCAUGGAGUGGAAAUGGGCAUAUAAGGUAAUCACAGAAGUUAUCACACCUACACCCUUCCCAGUAUAUGGAUGUACUAGGGAGGAAGAUUCCAUGGAAGAGGUAAAAUCUCCCCGCAUGCUUCAUUAUAGAAAGAAAAAGAGAACACUCUCUUCCUAACAGAACGGACCACUGUCUCAGCAUGUGGGAUGGUGAUAAUGAGGGAAUGAUUACCUACCAUCAGAUCAACAAUUAGUAUACACUGAAAUUACAAUGACUGUGAGACUGACCUAAGUGUGAAUAUACAACUUCUGAGCUUCCACUGCCUUUGGAGGGAUCACCACCAGGAUGCAGUCUAAAGGAAACUGUAGUGGUUUUAAAACAUUUACAACAUAAUUCUAAUGUUCAUGCACAUUUGAGACUGUGAAGUUAAAUGUAAUACAGCUGUAAGUACUCAGAUUAAUAUACAAAAUUUUAGUAAAUACUAAAAAACUUACCUAGAUUUAUCCAAAUUCCACCUGGCUUGAGUAUUUUCCAUAUUGUAUCAAUAUAAUCAAUUACAUUGUGAGCUGUGUCUAUGAAGAAACAGGUAGCAAUACAGUCCCAGGUAUCUAAUGAAGAAAAAUCAAAUUACUGCAUCUGUUAUGUUAUUUUGCUUUUUUCUUUUAAUUAAUUAUUUAAAUCUGCCAGUUACCUUUUACAGAGUAUUAAUAUUUGACAGAGAUACAGAAGCUAAACUUCUGAUCAACAUUAUAAUUACAGUAACCAAACAGUCAUUUAUGGGAAAUACUGAUAUCAAUAAUCUGAUUAAGUAAUCAAUUUGGAAAUCAUCCCCAAUAACACUAAUAUUAUAAUCUAAUCUCUACAUAUUAUUACCAAAUGGUAUUUGUUAGAGUUUUGUUUAUCCUCUAUUCAACUUCUAGCCUUCAUUUAAAAUCACUUAAAACAAAAUAAUAGUCAUUCAAAUUUAAACUAGUGUUAACCACCAAUUCUGGCAGGUUUCAGAAAGACUGCAGGCACCAGUUGCCAACUGAGAAAUGAAUGACAUCCAAAUACUUCAACAUCUACCACAACUUCGAAUAAUUACCAGGGAAAAAGGGGAGCCAGGGGCAGGCAGAAGCAGUGGGUGGGAACCCAGUAGAGAACACCGUUUGCCUCUAGGAGGUAUGGUGUCUAUACAAAUGCUGGUGCAAUAAAGGCACUUGAUCCCAUGGAGGACUACCUUCAUCAUCUGUUCUCUCAAACCUUGCUCCAGAAAAAGGGGACUUUUACUUGCCUAAGUGAUGUUUUCCAUUAUUUCAUUCCUUAUCCACAACACCUAACAUCUUCCAUCUCUCCCUUUCUUCCUUCAGAGUACAGGUUGUCCCAGUCUCAGAGUUCAGAGAAAAAUAAACAAAAACUUUCUAUGUUGUAAAAUAAAUAAAUAAAUAAAAACAAUCUAUGUUGUUGCUAUCCCUGCUUUAAGCCCUCCAAUGGCUUCCUGUUUCUCUGAGUACAAUUCCAAGUCCUUGCUAUGGCCUGCCAACAAGUUUGCCUCAUCAAACCCUCUCGAGGCUGACCUCUCACCACUGUACCCAUUGCUUACUACAGCCUAGCUCCUCCUUGAGCAGAGCAAGCACUCACUCUACUCCCUGAUCCUCUUCCCUUGCCAUUCCCCAUCUGCAAAAUUUUGCCUUCAAAUAUCUCAGUGGUUUGUCUGUGUACUCUUUCAAGGUUCUCUACUAGACAUUUUUUUUUUUUAGUUUCUACUCUUAGAAAGGCUUUCCCUGACAACUCUAUAUAAAGCAGCAGCCUCUCCCCAGUCACUCUGUAACCCGUCUUCCCUGCCUUAUUUUUUCUUCCUUACAAUAUUGUAUUUGUUAUUGCCUCACUUUCUCUAUUGGAAGUUCUCUGUGGACAGGGAUUUUGUUUUGUUCACUGUUCUCUUUUGACACCUAGAAAAAUACCUAGUACUUAGUAGGUGCUCAACAAAUACCUAUUGACUCAAUGAUCUUGCUGAACCCUCGGUAUUCUAUUUUGCUUUCCUUUUAGUGCCAAUCUCCCUCUCCACUUUCCCUAUUACCAUCUCCCUUUCUCUCCUGCCUAGCUCAGAUUUCUUCAACAGUUUGCCAGGCUGAAGUCAACUGUGCAGCCUGACUAUACAAGUCCUCCAUGAUCUGGAACAAAUUCACUUUUCUAGCAAUAGCUCCUAUUAAAUCUCAUUAAAUCUCCCAUUAAAUCUUUUCUUUCCCUGCCAGUACAGCUGUGCUGCCAUCCCCAAUCACCUUGUUCAUAUCUUUGUACUUCUGUCUGCCUCAAAUGCUAUUCUCUCAACCUUCAAGUCAUAGCCUCACUAUGAACAGCUUCCUUCUUACACUAAUAACCUUUCAUUUUUUUGGUAUUCAUUACUCAUUUAACCUUUGUUUACAUGGUAUCUCUUAGUAUUAAUGGGCCCAACAGAUUCUAAAUUUCUUGACUGUAGAUAUCUUACACUUCUUAUUUCCUAUCACUGCCUUGUACACGACCUUGAAAACAUUCUAAAUUGACACUGACAUAUGCCUUAUGUUCUACCAUCAAAAUGAAUGAUCUAAACCUUGGCUUAGGAUAAAACUAGCUCAUUAAAUUUAGAAUAAAGGACAAGACUUUUUAAACGCUUGAUUUGGACUUACUGCAUUCUGAAUAAAUCUCUUGA